CCAGCCACUCACAGCAGUCUCCUGCCACAGAUGUAGAUAAAUAUGAUUACCUGCCCCCAACCUCCCUGCUCUCCUGUUAGUGUCAGCGGUGGGAUCAGACCAGAGUCCCAGCCACUAAACCAGGCCCAGCGCCCAGGUGCCUAUGCCCAGGACUGGGGCAUGACCCUCGCACCAGAGUCCCUUGAUGGAUGGGUCACUUCCUGCAUGACUAUCCCCUGCUCCUUCACCUACCCUACAGGGUGGACGGUCAGGGCCGUGAGCUGGACACGGGACAGGGAUCAAACCGUGUAUCAUUUGGAUGAGGCUCGUGUCCACGCUGACUUCAAGGGGCACGUCCGCUAUCUGGGGGACCUGCAGCACAACUGCUCCCCGCGUGUGGCAGGGCUGCACCACAGCGAUCAGGGCACCUACCGCUUCUGAUUUGAGACAAUCGGUGAUGUCAAGAAUGACAGCUGGACGACUUAUCCAGGACAGCGACUCGUGUCUUUGGUAAUCAGGUUCCUUCCAGCAGCCCCAGUUCAACACAGGGACCUUGGAUAACCUCAGAUAGGACACUACACACGAGUGCGCAGACACAGAGCAGGAUUCGUCCCCUCCAGCUGGGGGCAGCAGGGACACACACACCCUUUCUGCCUUGCUCUGAAAUCCAAGUGGUUAGAGCUGGGAGCCAGGACUCCUGGGUUCUCUCCCCAACUUUAGGGGACGGGGUGGGGUGGAGAGGGAGAGUGGUUAAAGCAGCGGGGACUUGUGGGUUAGACUCCUGGGCUGUGUUGUCAGACCCGCGUCCCCGUCACUCUGUCUAACCCUGGGCCUGUGCUGAAGAGCCGCUGAGACUGACCCUGCAGCCAGCGUAAUGCAGCAGGCGUGAGGGGCUAUCAGGCGGAGCCCGAUAGUGGGACUGGGACCCUGCAGGACCCCCUGGCAGAAGAGAGGGAGCAGGUAAAAUGUGCUUUGUUGGUGGUGGGUUCGGGUGGGCAAAAAACCCAGGCUGUGGUAAUUGGUGGGCAAACACUAAAUCUGAUAAAUGUACCAAGAGUCGCCUAUUGGGGAAAUUGCUAAAUGUUUUGUGUGAGCUUCUCUUUCCUCUCCACGUUUCUCUCCCUCGCUCCAAACCUGGGGAAAUGCACUGGCCCAAGGCAGGUCAGAGAUGCAUUCUGUGUGUUUGUACCUGGUUCAUGCAAGAUUUGUUUUAUUCUUUUAGUGGUAAAAAUUGGGUCUGAAUUCCAUUGGUAUCGAUCAUAUCUUCACCUACCGGUUUUUGUCGGUUGGUUGGUUUUUAGCAGCUUGGGGGAAUCUGUCUCUCUUGCAGGAUUUGCAGGAUCGAAGGUUUUUGUGGCUGGAGGGGGAUGAAAAUGCAAAAUCCAAAGCCAGGCACUUGAAUAACAGGAAUGGGACAGAAUUCAAAACAGUCCCAUUUAGGGCUCUGGUGUGAGGCCCGAUGUGUGGUGCCCCCCACUGGCGGCUGCCCCCUCUGGGCAGACCCAGCGCUCCCCGUGUCUCAG
rnacentral:lncRNA from 1 species